rnacentral:lncRNA from 1 species
GAAGUCUUGCCACAUGUAAAUCUGGUGUCUCUCUUCUUUUCCUUUUUUUUUCUAGUUUUUAGUCUACGAGGUUUUUACGACGAUUUUUGUUACGAGGUGUUUACGACGAAAUCAUCCUACGUGGAAUUAAAGAGUGCCUCCUUCGUCAUUUACUUUACGUGGUAUUUACGUCUAUUUACCUUACGAGGUCUUUACGACGAUUCCGUCCUACGUGGAAUUAACGGGUUUCGCUUUCUUUAUUUUUUUAGUUUCGUCGUUAUUUCCACGUAAGCUAACGAGUUCUUUACGACGAUUCUGUCCUACGUGGAAUAAACGAGGAUUACGUCGUACAUUCGACGUCAACUUACGAGGAAUUAAC